GAGUAGUGCAGAGCAGCUUGAACUAAUGCACUGGGAAUGGAAAUGAGAGAACAGGCAAAACAUUUGAGAAAGUCGAUUUGAAAAGGCAGAUUGUUUAUGUUGAUCUUCAGGAAUUUUACUGGGAUAAUUAUCCAAAUAAAUUGCAAGCAUUCUAUCCAAAUGGAGCUCUUUCUGAGAUGAAGAGAAUUCUCAAUGUCAAGAUUUGAACAAGAAGAGAAUGGAAUACACAAUAUGGACAUCCAUAAAAAUUCAUCAGAGAGCAUUUUACUACUGAGCUGCAAAGGGAAAAACUUAAAAUGGAUAUGAAAAGUGAAGAAAGUGAUCAUAGGAGAAAACCAUUUCAGGUGUCUGAUGAUUUGUGAGCCUCAAGUGACUACUCUGUGGAAUCAUCUGUCCUUGCCUUUGAAUUAGCUUUCCCUAGGCCAUGAGUCAACAUUAGUAGUUUAUACAUCCAAAUUGUGUUGACUUCAUUCUCAGAUGACAAGAGCACCUCAAAGGCAGCAGCCUCAAGGAGCAGCCAUGGCCCCAGACUUGUCGCACGGAUGCAGAAAACUUAAUGGAGGAGGCUGAGGUCAGAAUGGGAAGAGUUUUUAAAAAAUAAAAAGGGGAGCUAAUAUGUGA
rnacentral:lncRNA from 1 species